rnacentral:rRNA from 1 species
GGUCUGAGAGGAUGGCCAGCCACACUGGAACUGAGACACGGUCCAGACUCCUACGGGAGGCAGCAGUGGGGAAUAUUGCGCAAUGGGGGGAACCCUGACGCAGCCAUGCCGCGUGAAUGAAGAAGGCCUUCGGGUUGUAAAGUUCUUUCGGUAUUGAGGAAGGAGUGUAUGUUAAUAGCAUACAUUAUUGACGUUAAAUACAGAAGAAGCACCGGCUAACUCCGUGCCAGCAGCCGCGGUAAUACGGAGGGUGCGAGCGUUAAUCGGAAUAACUGGGCGUAAAGGGCACGCAGGCGGUUAUUUAAGUGAGGUGUGAAAGCCCCGGGCUUAACCUGGGAAUUGCAUUUCAGACUGGGUAACUAGAGUACUUUAGGGAGGGGUGGAAUUCCACGUGUAGCGGUGAAGUGCGUAGAGAUGUGGAGGAAUACCGAAGGCGAAGGCAGCCCCUUG